UACGUAGGGCGCAAGCGUUAUCCGGAUUUAUUGGGCGUAAAGAGCUCGUAGGCGGUUCGGUAAGUCGGGUGUGAAACCUCCAGGCUCAACCUGGAGACGCCACCCGAUACUGCUGUGACUAGAGUCCGGUAGGGGAGCGUGGAAUUCCUGGUGUAGCGGUGAAAUGCGCAGAUAUCAGGAGGAACACCAGCGGCGAAGGCGGCGCUCUGGGCCGGAACUGACGCUGAGGAGCGAAAGCGUGGGGAGCAAACAGG
rnacentral:rRNA from 1 species